rnacentral:tRNA from 1 species
UUAGUUAAAACCAAUAGGCUGAGGUAUUGCAUUGUUAGUGCAAUCAUAGGAUUCUACCUAACUUUA